rnacentral:rRNA from 1 species
UAGUCUCGCACAGAUGCAUAUCAAUAAGCGGAGGAAAAGAAACUAACAAGGAUUCCCUUAGUAACGGCGAGUGAAGCGGGAAGAGCUCAAAUUUGAAAUCUUCAAGGUUUUACCUUGACGAAUUGUAGUUUAAAGAAGUGUUUUCUGUUGAAGUUUUGGUAAAAGUUCUUUGGAAUAGGACAUCAUAGAGGGUGAGAAUCCCGUAUUUGACCAUUAUUUUCAGCUGUGUGAUACACUUUCAAAGAGUCGGAUUGUUUGGGAAUGCAGUCCAAAAUGGGUGGUAAAUUUCAUCUAAAGCUAAAUAUUGGCGAGAGACCGAUAGCGAACAAGUACCGUGAGGGAAAGAUGAAAAGAACUUUGAAAAGAGAGUUAAACAGUACGUGAGAUUGUCAAAAGGGAAGCGUUUGACACCAGUGUUGUUUUCUCGAAAAUCAAUUAAAAAGAGUUUGAUUUUGUUGUGUAUUGACCUUAACAGCUUGCAUUUCAAUUUUCUUGCUUUUUUUAAUGCACUUUUCGUUUAACAAGUCAACAUCAGUUUCUUUUGUUGUAAAAAGGUCAUUGGAAGGUGGCUUUCUUUUCGGAGAAAGUGUUUAUAGCCUUUGACUCCUGCAAUCGGAGAGACUGAGGUCUGCAGCGUAGAUCCUUCGGGGUUAGAUACAUUUGUGCUAAGUUAUAGCAUUUUAUAGACAACUUGUUGACUAUGAUUUGUCUUGUAGCUUACUCGCUUAUGUUAUUUUACCUACGCUUAGGAUGUUGAGCGCAUGUCUCUCUCU